rnacentral:rRNA from 1 species
GGUUAAGCGACUAAGCGUACACGGUGGAUGCCCUGGCAGUCAGAGGCGAUGAAGGACGUGCUAAUCUGCGAUAAGCGUCGGUAAGGUGAUAUGAACCGUUAUAACCGGCGAUUUCCGAAUGGGGAAACCCAGUGUGAUUCGUCACACUAUCAUUACGUGAAUACAUAGCGUAAUGAAGCGAACCGGGGGAACUGAAACAUCUAAGUACCCCGAGGAAAAGAAAUCAACCGAGAUUCCCCCAGUAGCGGCGAGCGAACGGGGAGCAGCCCAGAGUCUGAAUCAGCUUGUGUGUUAGUGGAACGGUCUGGAAAGUCCGACGGUACAGGGUGAUAGUCCCGUACACCAAAAUGCACAGGUUGUGAACUCGAAGAGUAGGGCGGGACACGUGGUAUCCUGUCUGAAUAUGGGGGGACCAUCCUCCAAGGCUAAAUACUCCUGACUGACCGAUAGUGAACCAGUACCGUGAGGGAAAGGCGAAAAGAACCCCGGCGAGGGGAGUGAAAAAGAACCUGAAACCGUGUACGUACAAGCAGUGGGAGCCUACUUGUUAGGUGACUGCGUACCUUUUGUAUAAUGGGUCAGCGACUUAUAUUCUGUAGCAAGGUUAACCGUAUAGGGGAGCCGAAGGGAAACCGAGUCUUAACUGGGCGUUAAGUUGCAGGGUAUAGACCCGAAACCCGGUGAUCUAGCCAUGGGCAGGUUGAAGGUUGGGUAACACUAACUGGAGGACCGAACCGACUAAUGUUGAAAAAUUAGCGGAUGACUUGUGGCUGGGGGUGAAAGGCCAAUCAAACCGGGAGAUAGCUGGUUCUCCCCGAAAGCUAUUUAGGUAGCGCCUCGUGAACUCAUCUUCGGGGGUAGAGCACUGUUUCGGCUAGGGGGUCAUCCCGACUUACCAACCCGAUGCAAACUGCGAAUACCGAAGAAUGUUAUCACGGGAGACACACGGCGGGUGCUAACGUCCGUCGUGAAGAGGGAAACAACCCAGACCGCCAGCUAAGGUCCCAAAGUCAUGGUUAAGUGGGAAACGAUGUGGGAAGGCACAGACAGCCAGGAUGUUGGCUUAGAAGCAGCCAUCAUUUAAAGAAAGCGUAAUAGCUCACUGGUCGAGUCGGCCUGCGCGGAAGAUGUAACGGGGCUAAACCAUGCACCGAAGCUGCGGCAGCGACACUAUGUGUUGUUGGGUAGGGGAGCGUUCUGUAAGCCGUUGAAGGUGU